CACCGGCAUUGCUCAGUACGGCGAGUGAGCGGCAAAGCUCAAAUUUGAAAUCUGGCUGCUUUUUUAGUAGUCCGAGUUGUAAUUUGAAGAAUAGAUCCUUGGAGAGGCGCCUUGUCUAUGUUCCUUGGAACAGGACGUCGCAGAGGGUGAGAAUCCCGUUUGGCGAGGUGUGCUGAUCCGUGUAAGGGCUGUUCGACGAGUCGAGUUGUUUGGGAAUGCAGCUCUAAGUGGGUGGUAAAUUCCAUCUAAAGCUAAAUAUUGGCGAGAGACCGAUAGCGAACAAGUACAGUGAUGGAAAGAUGAAAAGAACUUUGAAAAGAGAGUGAAAAAGUACGUGAAAUUGUUGAAAGGGAAGGUUAUUAGAUCAGACUUGGAUUUUUUAUUAUAUUUGUCUCCUUGUGGGGCAUUCACUAAUUUUUAAUCCAGGCCAGCAUCGAUUGGGAUGGCGGGAAAAAGAGGGAGGAACGUGGCUGUGCAUUUAUGUGCAGUGUUUAUAGCCUUUCUUAAUACCGCCUGUCUCGAUCGAGGACUGCGGCAAAUUUAUUUUUGCCUAGGAUGCUGGCGUAAUGAUCUAAUAUCGCCCGUCUUGAACCACGGACCA
rnacentral:rRNA from 1 species